UAGCAGGUCCCUAUCUAGCCAGUGGCU
rnacentral:piRNA from 1 species